rnacentral:rRNA from 1 species
UAGGGAAUCUUCCGCAAUGGACGCAAGUCUGACGGAGCAACGCCGCGUGAGUGAAGAAGGAUCUCGGUUCGUAAAACUCUGUUGUUAGAGAAGAACAGCGCAUAGAGUAACUGUUAUGCGUGUGACGGUAUCUAACCAGAAAGCCACGGCUAACUACGUGCCAGCAGCCGCGGUAAUACGUAGGUGGCAAGCGUUGUCCGGAUUUAUUGGGCGUAAAGCGAGCGCAGGCGGUCAAUUAAGUCUGAUGUGAAAGCCCCCGGCUCAACCGGGGAGGGUCAUUGGAAACUGGUUGACUUGAGUGCAGAAGGGGGGAGUGGAAUUCCAUGUGUAGCGGUGAAAUGCGUAGAUAUAUGGAGGAACACCAGUGGCGAAGGCGACUCUCUGGUCUGUAACUGACGCUGAGGUUCGAAAGCGUGGGUAGCAAACAGG